rnacentral:misc_RNA from 1 species
CGCUCUCCAUCAUGCCGAGAGAAUGGCGCACUUAUGUGUGGCGUCCCCUAGAGAUGGUGAGAGGCAAAUGCCCACGUGCACAUACCCAGUGUGAAAGGGGCGACUUCGGGCAGAGACAUCAAGCUCUGCCCCCCCCCCUCCCACCACACACACACGCACACGCACACAUGGGUUCUCUGCUCUCUUCUUCCUGUUGGGAGAGCUUAUUUGCUGUGUCGUUGUUGUCGCCUCAAGGCAAGUGCGUGAGUCGGCUAACAGAGGUUUGAGAUGGCGAGACGGUCAUGGAAGUUGGGUGCUGUGUUGCGCGUGACGCACCUCGGGCUUCUCAUUUUAUCUGCUCAUCCACAAUGCACGCCGUCUGCUGCGUGGAGUCGAAGCAUCGGGAGCGCGUACGGGAGGAGAGAAGUGGUCACAAGCCAGCAUUUCGCCGGUGCGCUUUCCUCAAGUGCGGAUUUGCCUGAGAGAGACGAGAGGUUGUGCGCUGCCGACCUUUGCCAUUGCCCUUUGGAGGAGGAGACGUGCGAAGAUGGAGCGCUAUGCUGCAGGGCUGUUUUCUUUUUUUUUUGUUUCCAUUUUAGCUUCGUUCUCACGGAGGGGAAUGAGCGAAGCGAAAAAGAAGGACAGGGAAAAAGGAAACACAUCGGCCGGCUGUCACGCCAUGGCCAUCGGAUCAACGACAGUCCCGGAGCUAGAUUCGCCUUCCUGCUUCCUUGUCUAGCUUCUCUUCUUUCUCCGCCCUCACCCUCUCUUUUUGGUCCACUAGCUGAUCUGCACGACCUCGACUCUUCCUCUGUCUCAUGCCCAUGCUUGUCUUCGCCGCAUAGACCGCCGUCUCUUUGCCACCGUGAAAGCCGACUCGAUCUCUCUCUCUCUCUCUGUGUGUGUGUGUGUCUGUCUGCCUCUCCCUCCUCCUUUUUGGCGUCGUGCACGCGCACAG